rnacentral:rRNA from 1 species
AGAGUUUGAUCCUGGCUCAGAACAAACGCUGGCGGCGUGUCUUAAGCAUGCAAGUUGAGCGGCAAGGGGGAGCAAUCCCCCCUAGAGCGGCGGACUGGUGAGUAACACGUGGAUGAUCUACCCAUGGCAUGGGGAUAGUCACUAGAAAUAGUGGGUAAUACCGAAUACGGUGCGUAUCGUGAGGGUACGUAAGAAAGGGUGCUACGGCACCGGCCUAGGAUGAGUCUGCGUCCCAUUAGCUAGUUGGUGAGGUAAGAGCCCACCAAGGCGAUGAUGGGUAGCCGGCCUGAGAGGGUGUACGGCCACACUGGGACUGAGAUACGGCCCAGACUCCUACGGGAGGCAGCAGCUAAGAAUAUUCCGCAAUGGACGAAAGUCUGACGGAGCGACGCCGCGUGGAUGAAGAAGGCCGAAAGGUUGUAAAGUUCUUUUGUUGGGGAAGAAUAACCAUGGGAGGGAAUGCCCGUGGGAUGACAU